rnacentral:rRNA from 1 species
AUUGAACGCUGGCGGCAGGCCUAACACAUGCAAGUCGAGCGGGGUUUUCGGACCUAGCGGCGGACGGGUGAGUAAUGCGUAGGAAGCUACCCGAUAGAGGGGGAUACCAGUUGGAAACGACUGUUAAUACCGCAUAAUGUCUACGGACCAAAGUGUGGGACCUUCGGGCCACAUGCUAUCGGAUGCGCCUACGUGGGAUUAGCUAGUUGGUGGGGUAAUGGCUCACCAAGGCGACGAUCCCUAGCUGGUUUGAGAGGAUGAUCAGCCACACUGGAACUGAGACACGGUCCAGACUCCUACGGGAGGCAGCAGUGGGGAAUAUUGGACAAUGGGCGCAAGCCUGAUCCAGCCAUGCCGCGUGUGUGAAGAAGGCCUUCGAGUUGUAAAGCACUUUCAGUGGGGAGGAAGGGUGUUGUGUUAAUAGCACAGCAUUUUGACGUUACCUACAGAAGAAGCACCGGCUAACUCUGUGCCAGCCGCCGCGGUAAGAC